UACAGAGGUCUCGAGCGUUGUUCGGAUUCAUUGGGCGUAAAGGGCGCGUAGGCGGCGGGGUAAGUCUGGUGUGAAAUCUCGGAGCUCAACUCCGAAAUUGCACUGGAUACUGCCGUGCUUGAGGACUGGAGAGGAGACUGGAAUUUACGGUGUAGCGGUGAAAUGCGUAGAUAUCGUAAGGAAGACCAGUGGCGAAGGCGGGUCUCUGGACAGUUCCUGACGCUGAGGCACGAAGGUCAGGGGAGCAAACGGG
rnacentral:rRNA from 1 species